GACGAACGCUGGCGGCGUGCUUAACACAUGCAAGUCGAACGGAAAGGCCCUGCUUUUGUGGGGUGCUCGAGUGGCGAACGGGUGAGUAACACGUGAGUAACCUGCCCUUGACUUUGGGAUAACUUCAGGAAACUGGGGCUAAUACCGGAUAGGAGCUCCUGCUGCAUGGUGGGGGUUGGAAAGUUUCGGCGGUUGUGGAUGGACUCGCGGCUUAUCAGCUUGUUGGUGGGGUAGUGGCUUACCAAGGCUUUGACGGGUAGCCGGCCUGAGAGGGUGACCGGCCACAUUGGGCCUGAGAUACGGCCCAGACUCCUACGGGAGGCAGCAGUGGGGAAUAUUGCACAAUGGGCGGAAGCCUGAUGCAGCAACGCCGCGUGCGGGAUGCCGGCCUUCGGGUUGUAAACCGCUUUCGCCUGUGACGAAGCGUGAGUGACGGUAAUGGGUAAAGAAGCACCGGCUAACUACGUG
rnacentral:rRNA from 1 species